rnacentral:rRNA from 1 species
GACGAACGCUGGCGGCGUGCUUAACACAUGCAAGUCGAACGAAGAGCGAUGGAAGCUUGCUUCUAUCAAUCUUAGUGGCGAACGGGUGAGUAACGCGUACUCAACCUGCCCUUCAGAGGGGGACAACAGUUGGAAACGACUGCUAAUACCGCAUACGAUCUAAUCUCGGCAUCGAGGAUAGAUGAAAGGUGGCCUCUACAUGUAAGCUAUCACUGAAGGAGGGGAUUGCGUCUGAUUAGCUAGUUGGAGGGGUAACGGCCCACCAAGGCGAUGAUCAGUAGCCGGUCUGAGAGGAUGAACGGCCACAUUGGGACUGAGACACGGCCCAGACUCCUACGGGAGGCAGCAGUGGGGAAUCUUCCGCAAUAGACGAAAGUCUGACGGAGCAACGCCGCGGGAGUGAUGACGGCCUUCGGGUUGUAAAGCUCUGUUAAUCGGGACGAAAGGCCUUCUUGCGAAUAGUGAGAAGGAUUGACGGUACCGGAAUAGAAAGCCACGGCUAACUACGUG